rnacentral:rRNA from 1 species
AACGGGUGAGUAACACGUGGGUGAUCUGCCCUGCACUUCGGGAUAAGCCUGGGAAACUGGGUCUAAUACCGGAUAUGACCUUCGGCUGCAUGGCUGAGGGUGGAAAGGUUUACUGGUGCAGGAUGGGCCCGCGGCCUAUCAGCUUGUUGGUGGGGUAAUGGCCUACCAAGGCGACGACGGGUAGCCGACCUGAGAGGGUGACCGGCCACACUGGGACUGAGACACGGCCCAGACUCCUACGGGAGGCAGCAGUGGGGAAUAUUGCACAAUGGGCGAAAGCCUGAUGCAGCGACGCCGCGUGAGGGAUGACGGCCUUCGGGUUGUAAACCUCUUUCAGCAGGGACGAAGCGAAAGUGACGGUACCUGCAGAAGAAGCACCGGCCAACUACGUGCCAGCAGCCGCGGUAAUACGUAGGGUGCAAGCGUUGUCCGGAAUUACUGGGCGUAAAGAGCUCGUAGGCGGUUUGUCGCGUCGUCUGUGAAAACUCGAGGCUCAACCUCGAGCUUGCAGGCGAUACGGGCAGACUUGAGUACUGCAGGGGAGACUGGAAUUCCUGGUGUAGCGGUGAAAUGCGCAGAUAUCAGGAGGAACACCGGUGGCGAAGGCGGGUCUCUGGGCAGUAACUGACGCUGAGGAGCGAAAGCGUGGGUAGCGAACAGGAUUAGAUACCCUGGUAGUCCACGCCGUAAACGGUGGGCGCUAGGUGUGGGUUUCCUUCCACGGGAUCCGUGCCGUAGCUAACGCAUUAAGCGCCCCGCCUGGGGAGUACGGCCGCAAGGCUAAAACUCAAAG